GCGGAGCGUGUGGUUUAAUCGUUGCUACACGAAGAACCUUACCUGGGUUGACAUAUAGGUUGUAGGGAACUGAAAGGGACCGACCGUUCGGGAGCCUAUACAGGUGUUGCAUGGCUGUCGUCAGCUCGUGUCGUGAGAUGUUCGGUUAAGUCCGCUAACGAGCGCAACCCUCGUCGUAUGUUAUAUGUGUCAUACGAGACUGCCGGUAAAAGCCGGAGGAAGGUGAGGAUGAUGUCAAGUCAGCAUGACCUUUAUAUCCAGGGCUACACACACGCUACAAUGGUCUGUACAAUGGGUAGCCAAGCCGCGAGGCGGAGCCAAUCCUGAAAGCAGGCCUCAGUUCAGAUUGCAGUCUGCAACUCGACUGCAUGAAGCCGGAGUUGCUAGUAACCGCAGGUCAGCAAUACUGCGGUGAAUACGUUCCCGGGUCUU
rnacentral:rRNA from 1 species